GCUCGUGUGGUGGCACAUGCCUGUAAUCCCUGCAGCUCUGGAGGCUGAGGCAGGAGGAUCACAAGUUCAAAGACAGCCUCAGCAAUGGCGGAGGCUCUGAGCAAUGCAGUGAGAUCCUGUCUCUA
rnacentral:sRNA from 1 species